rnacentral:rRNA from 1 species
UACGUAGGGUGCGAGCGUUGUCCGGAAUUAUUGGGCGUAAAGAGCUUGUAGGCGGUUUGUCGCGUCUGCCGUGAAAGCCCAGGGCUUAACCCUGGGUCUGCGGUGGGUACGGGCAGACUAGAGUGUGGUAGGGGAGACUGGAAUUCCUGGUGUAGCGGUGAAAUGCGCAGAUAUCAGGAGGAACACCGGUGGCGAAGGCGGGUCUCUGGGCCGUAACUGACGCUGAGGAGCGAAAGCAUGGGGAGCGAACAGG